UACGGGGGGAGCAAGCGUUGUUCGGAUUUACUGGGCGUAAAGGGCGCGUAGGCGGUCAGCACAAGUCAGUUGUGAAAUCUCCGGGCUUAACUCGGAAAGGUCAACUGAUACUGUGCGACUAGAGUGCGGAAGGGGCAACUGGAAUUCUCGGUGUAGCGGUGAAAUGCGUAGAUAUCAAGAGGAACACCUGAGGUGAAGACGGGUUGCUGGGCUGACACGUGACGCUGAGGCGCGAAAGCUAGGGUAGCAAACGGG
rnacentral:rRNA from 1 species